rnacentral:lncRNA from 1 species
AUACAACAUGUCACAUCAGGGAAACUUCCUUUCAUGCACCGUUCGUUCGCUGUCUUGACCCUGGGUCAACAAGAACCUUCCUGGCUCAAUCACCUACGGCACCCACAAGAUUAAGUUUAAUCAGCUAGUUUUAGUUACUGGCGAUAAUACUAAGUACAGCAUUUGAACAGGUCAUCCAUGCAUCCAGGAUAAAAGAGUCGGUCUCCGGUCUUAUAUGUGAAUUCAGAUUCACCUGGAGGCUGGUGCCUACCAAUUACCAAUUUACCACUACACUGCUUCCAUUUCAUAAAAGAAACUCCAGUUGUAUAGAUAACAUAUGUGACAUUCCCUCAAAGGGGACAGGGAGGUUAAGCCAAAUGGAGCACGACGGGAUAAGUAUCUGAUCAUCAGGUCAUCUGGUAGGUGGCAAGAUGCUUUCGGGGGAGGCAAGUUGGCCCAAGCAAAUAUAAAUUAAUGAGAAGGGGGGAAUUUCACUGUUAUAGCCAUCAUAUCGACAUCUAAACGCGUGGCCCGGUUUCUCAAGGACCUGAACCUCCUUUUAGCUUUAUGCUAAAGCCGGGCAAAGGUGAUCUCUGUCCAGCAUUUAAACACGUGCCUGAUAUAAGAGCAGAUUUGCCUUUCCACCUAAACAUGGCGCUAAUUUUAGCGCACUAGUGAGGUGUGAUCAUGACCAAUUGGAAACUUUAUUUUGUUAAUAUGCUACAUAGAGGGAAACAAUUUACUGGAGAGUGGCAUGCUGCAUUAAAUAUAUAAUUUCCGCUACAGUUGUUCAGUGUGAUCGUAUCAGGCAUUUUGAAGAUCAAAAGUACAGUGUAAAAUUGAAUGCUCCAAUUGGUAGACCAGAAUUGCCAUGUCUAAGAAUAGGAACCAUAUCUCUUAAAAAACCUUGUAAUUUAUUUGAUAAAAAAUAUUAUAGGUUAGGUUCGCAAAACUGGCUAAAACAAACUGCCAACUGAGUCAUGGACUCACAUUUGGUUGCUGACCAAACAAGCUACCGCAUACCCCAAAACCACUUCUGACCAUGUCUACACCCUGAUUGGACAAAAAAUAAAUGCAAGUAGGGCCAAGGGCAAAUUAGUCCACAUCUGUUUCGCUAUUUAACCAUAGCCCAGUUAGAGAAGGAGAGCUGGAUCUAGGACAAACAGAAAAGGGAGUAAGAACCACAAAAGAGAUGGCAAGAGCCUUACCAUGGCUAACCUUUUCAGCCACCCUGCUGCUGCUAGCAAGCAUCAAGAGCAGCACAGCGUCCAGGAUGGCGAAGCCUGGAUGCCAAGAAACAUGCGGCAACCUCACCAUCCCAUACCCCUUCGGCAUCGGUCAAGGUUGCUUCUACGGUCAAGGGUUCGAUGUUUCAUGCGAGAACAAUCGUGUUUUCAUGCAUAAUUCAAGCAGCCGAAUGGAGAUCUACAACAUCAGUCUGGUAGGAGGGCAGGCUCGAGUCAGCACCUUGAUUGCAUCCAAGUGCUCCUACAAAAAUGGCACCGACACAGAUUGGGGGGUUUCAUCAAAUACUGCCGAUUUGUUUACAAUAUCCAGCAAGGCGAACAAGCUAACAGUGGUUGGAUGCAACACCCUUGCAUUCCUUGGAGGCUUUAAUGAGCACAGAGCCGGAGCUGGGUGUUUCUCAAUGUGCCCUGACAAGCAAGGAGUGGACGGUAGUGGGCAGUGCUCUGGCAUGGGCUGUUGCCAGACAUCCAUCGCACCAAACCUCAAUUCCUUAAACAUAGGAUUCGAUGACAGGUAUAACAAUUCUGAGGUGCGUGAUUUCAACCCCUGCAGCUAUGCUUUUGUCGCCGAGCAGGAUUGGUUCAGGUUUGAGGCUUCAUACCUUGAUGAUGACAAGUUCAGGGAUAAGUUCAAGGAUGAGGUCCCUGCUGUGCUUGACUGGGUUGUUGGACAUGAAUCCUGUGAUGAAGCGGUCAAGAACACGACAUCGUAUGCCUGCAUUAGCAAGAAUAGCCACUGCAUCAUGUCAGCAAAUGCUACAGGCUAUCUCUGCACCUGCAACAAUGGCUUCGCAGGCAACCCCUACCUGGAAGAAGGAUGCCAAGGUCGGUAACUCCCUGUAACUCACUUCCUUUGAGUUCACCUUGAGUUAUAUGUGCAUUGAGCUUCAGUUAUUUCUCUAUCCUUGCAUACUGCUUGCAGAUAUCAACGAGUGCCGCUUUCCAGAUCAGUAUCCUUGCCAUGGAAUCUGCAGCAACGCGAUUGGGGACUACAUUUGUUCAUGCAACUCUGGAACUAGCAGCAUAGAUCCAAAGAGAGAAACCUGCAAACAAAUCACAGUUUCAGAAAGAGCUAGAUUAACAAAAAUGUUUAUAGGUAAUCUUCAUAUGCUCAGGAUAUUUCAGUAAGUGUCUCUGUAGUGUGGAUAGGUCAAACUGAUAUAGCACAUAGAGGGAGGCAUCAGUGACAUUCAUUCCUAGAAAUCUAAACUUAGCUGCAUAUAUGAACAAAUAAGAAAGGACACUUUUUCACUCUUAUUUGCAAAAUAUACAUAUUAGGACAUUCAUCCUGCCUUGUCUUAAAAGUAUGCACUGUAAUCGCAAUAAAGAUAAGGUGCCGCGUGUCGCUGCCAGUUGCCGUGUAGUCUUGUGCAUAAUUUAAUAUACGCUCACGGUAAAUCCAAACAAAACCAAGUAGAUAAAUGAUGCCAGAAAUUCUUAUACCAUAGAAACAAAACAAAGUGACUUAUAUUCAUAUGCUAUUGGUUGCCCAUCAAGUUUAUUUGAAAAAAAAAUGUUGAUUUGUAAUCUGCCUAAUAAUGAUUAGAUACAAAUAAUAAUUUAGUUGUGAAGAAAUAAUUAGUCAUUUACAUGUGGGUUUUUUUACAGCCCAUCUCAAGAUUUUCAUAUAACUUGAAAUCCAAACAAAAUGAUUAGUCAUUGCAGGAUUUUUUUGCAAUUUUUGGAAGAACGAAAAUAUUUUUUUCGAAAAGGGAGCAAAUGCUUUGAGCACCAUUAGGCAUUAUCUAUAUAAGACUUCCAGUGACUGAAAGAAUGUUAUUCUUGGCAGGUAUUUCAUCAUGUGCUGUAAUUCUCCUUAUCUGCAUUUUUGCACUCCUGAUUGAAUGUCAGAAGAGAAAGCUGGUGAAAGAAAAGAAGAUAUUCUUCCAACAAAAUGGUGGCCUGCUAUUAUAUGAGCAAAUCAGGUCAAAGCAAGUUGAUACAGUAAGAAUAUUCACAAGGGAAGAACUAGAGAACGCAACAAACAAUUUUGAUUCAAGCAGAGAAUUAGGAAGGGGCGGCCAUGGAACUGUAUACAAGGGAAUUCUCAAAGAUGGCAGAGUGGUGGCCAUAAAGCGCUCAAAGGUUAUGAACAUGGACCAGAAAGAUGAAUUUGCGCAAGAGAUGGUUAUACUUUCACAGAUAAACCACAGGAAUGUGGUAAAGCUUCUAGGAUGUUGCUUAGAAGUGGAAGUUCCAAUGUUGGUCUAUGAAUGCAUCCCAAACGGCACCCUAUUCGAGCUGAUGCAUGGUAAAAACAGAAGACUUUCCAUCUCACUGGAUACACGUCUCAGGAUAGCUCAGGAAUCUGCAGAAGCAUUAGCAUAUCUGCACUCAUCAGCAUCCCCUCCCAUAGUUCAUGGAGAUGUAAAAUCUCCAAACAUUCUCCUAGGCGACAACUACACAGCAAAAGUGACUGAUUUUGGAGCAUCAAGAAUGCUUCCUACGGAUGAAAUACAAUUUAUGACAAUGGUACAGGGAACUAUAGGUUAUCUUGACCCUGAAUACUUGCAAGAGCGUCAACUAACAGAGAAGAGUGAUGUUUAUAGUUUUGGAGUUGUGCUCCUAGAGCUCAUUACAAUGAAGUUCGCAAUUUAUUCUGACAGUACUGGAGAAAAGAAAAACCUUGCAUCAUCCUUCCUUCUAGCAAUGAAAGAAAAUGGACUUCAAUUCAUCUUGGACAAGAAUAUAUUAGACUUCGAAGCGGAGCUGCUCCAAGAAAUUGCUCAACUGGCAAAGUGUUGCUUGAGUAUGAGGGGGGAAGAACGGCCAUUAAUGAGAGAUGUCGCUGAGAGGUUGAGAUCAAUAAGAAGCACCUGGAGAGAACAAUUGAUUCAGAAUCCUAGCAGGGAAACUGAAUGUUUGCUUGAGAACUCGUCACACUAUGACCCUUCUAGCACUGGACAGCAUGGAAGUCUGAUGGCGCUAGAUCUGGAAAGUGGUAGAUGAUAAUAAAUUGCUUAUGAAAUCACAGAUUGUAGCAGAGAUUGAAUUUACUAUUUCGUGCCAUAAAUGUCAUGCAAAAAUGUGUCAUUUUGUUUUUAAUUGUAACAAACCUCCUUGCAUGAAUAGCAAACUUCUAUGUACCAUGAUUUCAAAUAAAUCCAGUAUGUUAACAACAAAGAGUUGCUAAAUUGUGUAACCUUUUUUUUACCAUCACCUUCCUAGCAUGUGCUUGUAUCCACUGAAUAUAGUUCCUUCUGUAUAGCCUCUGAUAUGCAACUCCUGUAUAUAUCUUGUAUACCUUUUACUCUAUUUGACAAUAUAUUACUGUCAGAGCCUCCCCUACAGUUUUCCAGUAAAAAAAAAUAGAUGCUAUAGCGUUGCCUAUUUUACACAAUGGAAGUUGUUGAUCAUACAUUACAGGUAUUUUAGAAGUGAAUGCAAAUCCAACCCCAAAGCAGUGAAGGGUGCAAAAACUUGCCAGCACUUAAAACUAGGAUUGAAUUGAAACUAGAGUAAUUAUCAGUAACAAAUUUUCGUAUGAGAUUCAUUGCACCGACAGUGGAUAGUACUUACCAAUAAGCAGGAAAAAGUAGGGGGAAACUACGUUGAUAAAUUCAAACUCGAGCCUGUGCGCAUUUAUUAAGCAGAAACUUGCCCGCUUCCACUAUCUCACAUACCAGUUGCAAACAUAGAGGCAUUAAAUCUUUUUUUAAUUUGUACCAAGAAGGGAAAAGAUAUUUUCGUUUUGGAUUUUUCCUAUGUCUCAAGUAAUUAGCAAGAACUUACCCGCUUCCACUAUUACACUAUCCUCCAUCAACAAAGAUACUACAAUAUACAGAUGACCUCAAGAACACCUCUAACUUAGAAAAAUUUACACCUCAGGCUAAGGUAUAUGUAUGGUACACAUGAAAGCCAGAAUUUCUUGAUAUUACAGCACAGAAUUUGUCACAGAUUGGUACAAGUUUAUGGACCUGAUGAGAUACAGCACAUAAAUUGUGCUGUGUUUUUGCUAAUUCCUUAAAAAAGGUCUUUCAGCACUGAGUACGCCCUCUAAAAAUACAGGUAUUUCCUUUUCCCUUUUUUUUACUUAUAUAAACUAACUCAAUAGCGACUUGUCAGAGACAUUCUUAGCUGAGCUGGUAAGUUCCCCUGUUACAAACUAGUCCACACCACAAUGCAUAGCACAGAAGAACACAAGUUUGGUCGAGCGUAAUUCAGGGACGAACCUGUGGUGCAAAUCUGCUCUCGCGGCGGAGUCGAUCAAGACAGCAGAACUAGUCCAAGGUAUUCACAGAGCAAGCUUACCCCCUUUACCAGUCUCAUUCAAUGCCAUGACACGAACGAGUUCACCUUCACUUUCAUCGAGCAGGAUGUGCAUAUCUCCUUGUCCCUUUUGAAAGAUUCUCUUUAAUGACUUGACCUGGCCAUGGAUUCAAAGUCGCCCUGAUCACAUCAAGGAACCUUCGUUUAACUUGAUGUGCUGCGGUCUUGAGUGACCCUGGGUCACUUCCCGGCUCAAUCACCUGUGGCAAGGCAACAUAAGGUUAAGUUUUAAAUCAGCUGCUGCUAGUUACUGGUGACAAUGCUUUACAGUGUUUGAAGGUAAAUACGCCAACGAGACAUUUAAUAUAUUGCAGCCAGGAUAGAAGAGUCUCCCCAGUUAUAUGUGUGUCCAAGGUCGCCUGGGACCUACCAAUUGCCACUAUAAUCUGCACCGGCUACUUCCGUUUCAUAGAAGGCUAGGUGUGGAUGUGACAUUUCAUCAAAGAAGCAUGGUGAGAUUAAGCCAAAUGGAGUACGUUGACGCAGCAAAAAUCUGAUGGCCCGGUCUUCUAUGGUAGGUGGGGAGUUGCUUUCAGAAAAGGCCAAUCCGCCAAGCAAGGGAUAUAGAAGGGGGAAAUUGCACUGCUAUAACCACCAUAUCGGUCAAUAUGUAAACGAUGCCCCAGUUUCACCUGAACCUUCUUUUGGCUUUCUAUUAAAGCUGGGCAAGGCGCUUUGUGUCUAGCAUCUAAACGCGUGCCUCAUAUAAGAGACAUACUUGCUUUUCUGCCUUAAUAUUAAACUAAUUUCAGCACUCUGGCAAGCUGUGAUCAUGACCAGUUUGAAACUUUAUUUUGUUCAAAAGUAGUGUAAAAGUCAAUACUCCAAGUUGUAGACAACGAGCAUGAUUGGUUUGCUGCCAAUAUUUGGCUAGCCAAAUAUUGGCAAUACCAGGACUUGCCAACUAUUGGCAAUUUUAUGUGAGAUAGGCAAGACAACUCGGUAACCAACCAAGCAGUACCCAAUAUUUGGCAGAAUGCCAAACAUUGGCAUGCCAAUUUUUGGCACCAAACCAAUUAUGCUCAACAAUUUCCAUGCAUAAGAAUAGGAACCAUCCACCAAAAAAACUUAGAAUAAUUUGAUAAAGAAAUACAAAAGGUGGGUUCGUAAAAGUGGCCUGCCUCCCUCCCUCCCUCUCUCAAAAGAUAAAAGAAACUGCCAAUUAAUUAGCGGUCUCAUGUUUGGAUUGCAGAGCAGACAAGCAAGCUAUUUUUAUGACUGAAAGAAGGCUAGUUCAAACCCCAAACCACUUCUGACCUAGUCUACACUCUGAUAGGGGAAAAAACAUGAAAGAUCAAUUAGUCCACAUCCAUUUCGUUAUAUAAGCAUAGCCAAGUUAGAGAAAGGGAGCUGAAUCAUAGGACAGGCAGAAAAGGAGGCAGAAAUACACAAAGAGAUGGCAGCAGCCCUACCAUGCCUAAUCUUUGCAGCCACCCUGAUGCUAGCAAGCAUCAAGAGCAGCACAGCGUCCAGGAUGGCAAAGCCUGGGUGCCAAGAAACAUGUGGCAACCUCACCAUCCCAUACCCCUUCGGCAU